AGAUACAAUCACAUCGAAUGUGACCAUGUGCCAAGCACUCUGCUAUCAAGAGUAGCUCAUGAACGGUAUGGGUAUAAGUAUCCCUCCAUCUUGAAACCACCACAGUGACUUAUAAGCAACUCACUGUACUUUAGUAUCAGGCCAUCUAAGUUUCUAACUUAGUGAUGGAAGGAUAUUGGGUGUAGUCAAGUACUUAUCAAGUCGAUGUGUGAGUUAAGAUGGAAUUGACCCCUC
rnacentral:lncRNA from 1 species